CCUACUUUACUCACACCAUGCCCCACACAACUUGAUUUUCCUUGGUAUCUGUAGGAACAGUAAGUGGGAAGAUCUUUAGGAAACGGAGGGAGUAUUAAGUAUUAUUAUUUUUAUCAUUAUUAUUAUUAUUAUUAUUAUUGUUUCUAUAUAUUUUUUUUGUUUAUUAUAGCUUUACUCAUUAUUAUUACUAUUUAUAUCAUUACUAUUAAGUAUUAUUAUUAAUAUUAUUAUUAUUAUUAUUAUUAUUAUUAUUAUUAUUAUUAUUAUUAUUAUUAUUAUUAUUAUUGUCGUUGUUGUUGUUGUUGUUGUUGUUGUUGUUGUUGUUGUUGUUGUUGUUGUUGUUGUUGUUGUUGUUGUUGUUGUUGUUGUUGUUUCUAUAUAUUAUUUUGUUUAUUAUAGCUUUACUCAUUAUUAUUACUAUUAUUAUUAGGAGGAACAUGGUUUAGGUCAAAGCACAAAUAAACCCACGUUUUUUAGCCCAUAAACCAAUCAAAUCGCGUCAAGACGGUUUAUGAUGUAAUUUUCGCGGUCCAACCCAAUCAUUAUUUUUAUUACUAAAUAUUAUUAUAUUAUUAAAUCUAAUUAUUUAAAUAGUAAUAUUAAUUUACUUCCUAGAUAUUAUUAUUAUUAUAUAUCAUCAUCUAGUAUUAAUAUAUUAAUACAAAUAAUAUAAAAUAAUUAUUAUUAAUUAUCAUUAUUAUUAUUAAUUUAUGAUUAUUAAUAUUAUUAAUAUUAUAUAUUUAUGAUUUUGGAGUACGGUCAUUUGGGGCAAUCUUGUGGAAAGUGGAGGCAUAAGUAUGGCAUGCAAAUUGGUCUUUACAUGCGGAAACUUUCCAUUGUAUACUCAUGGAAAGAGGUUUCCAAGGGCUUGAAGAAGUGUUUAUGGGAGGAUACUAUGAAUCUUUUCAAUAUCGAGGAUGAUGAAGCAAAGAAGAGCCUAUCUCUAUCCGCCGUUGCCGAGAUAUUCAGAGAUUUCAAGGCAAAGUUAGUGUCCGGGUGGAUCACUAAGCGGGGGAAAGUUGUAGGUACGAAGAAGAAGAAAAACCUCCAAUCAGUUUAGUUCAGUUGUUUUAUGUCGAAGAGAGCAGGCCCUAAACCUUUUAUUUGUGAAAGUUGUAUGAAUGUUACUCCAAAAUGGAUUUUUUUUUUCUUGAGAAAUUUGAUCACUUAAUCUUUUUUAUGGGUAUACAUUUAGCAAUAUCAUAGAACA